UUUAAAGUUAAAGCACUUGGGAUUUAUCCAAACAACUCCUUUUGUGCCGCGAUUAGUCGCAUCGCGAGCAGUAACAGCGGUAACAGCCGUAACAGCUCUAACAGCUCCCGCCGCAAAACUAUGAAUUCUCGGGUAUCCGGGCAUGUAUACGGGUAUCGUGGCGUGUGGCAUGGACGAGGAGGUUAUAUACCAAAAAUACAAAACAAACAAAGAUAUAUUUAUGUAUAUAUUGUUUUAUUUGUAUGUAUAUAUCCGUUCUGGUAUAUAACCAAUAUAACCUCCUUGGGCGUGGCUCUCGCAAUCCAAAUCCACUGAGAAUAACGAAAGCAUAUGCGCAUAAUGAUGGUAAUGCAGGUAAACCUCUUCUAUAACCUUGCCAGUGGUUUAUCCAGAAUCGCAGUUGCUUUACCCGUCAUCGCCGACAUGCGUCUGCAGCUGAAAAACCAAGGACACCCUCCUGCAGCGAUUGCACAGGACAGGAAGGCAGAGCCGGAUGUGUCGCCAAACAUUUUGGAUGAGUGUAGAGGGUCUGGACCCUUGCGUAGAGGCACCACAUCCUAUUUAGUGACUCGAAAAAGGGCAAUACAGACAGCCACUACAAAGUGCAUGGACAGGACAAGCAAUGAAGCUGUGUUUGCGUGGUCGGGCAAAGAGGCGGCAGAUGAUAAUCAUUUAUCCAUACCCCCUCAAAUCCUUUGUUACCUUCCCGUGGGCACUCUACAGGGGGACCAGUGUUAUUUCAGCUUUAGAUGCAUAACAGUCAUAAGACCACAUGUUCUCGAUUCUGGAUAACACACAAGCUUUGCCUCAAUCUUCUUCCUGGGAAUUUUCUUGGCCCCCAUUGUUGUCUCUGCAAGGGAUUGUUUGACUGAUUGAUUGAAAACAGAAAAAAAAUAUGCAGAUGUGAGUCCCAACAACAAAACACAUGAAUUAGAAAAGAAGCUAGAAAACCGUAACAAAUUGUCUCAUUCAUUGCAUUGUUCUUUCUUGUGGUCAUCUUUGCAAGGGUCCUACGUGUCCAUACAGUAAAUAUUUUGUGAAAAAUAUGCACUUUACGAGACCACUUGGAAUUCGUGCAUUUUUGAGACAACUAAGGGCUUUUUUUCUGGGCUGCUUUCAACAAAUUGGGAGAGGUAUUUAGUUAUUUAUUCGUUUUACCCCAUAUGUCAAACUACAUUACGUUGAGGAGUGGGAAAGAAAUAUACAAUGUACACCAUGAACCAGCUAUGGAACACAGUGUACACAAUGCAGAAAAACACAAUUCAUAACUUUAGGGAAAACCCAGAAGCAAAGAUUAUAUAGAUAAUUACUGUGGCAUAGAAAUUAAUUUAGCCAGCAAUGGAUCAGCCAUUGAGUUAUGGUUGGCUAGGAAUUCAUUUGUAAGAGUGUUCAGGGAACGUUACCAAAGCAAUUGGUAUUUUAAAUCUUAACUAACAAAAAUAUGCAAAUUAAGUUUUUUAAUUAAAAGGAACAAGUUGCUAGUAUUGGUUGUGAAAAUAAAGCGUGAGGAAAACAAGAGGUAACAUUUGCUUCAGUAUGAGAAGGGAUUCAAAUCUCAUACUCAAGGAAAUGACAAGUUCAUUACACCAGAUUUCUUGCCUCUUACAUUUUUUUCUCGAGAACAACUCACCUUCGAAAAGAUGUCAAGAUGAAAAGAUGUAUUUUGUCGGUGUCCUAUAACUGUAAUUCUGAAUACUCCAUUUUUGCCUCUCUAGUUUUUUUCUAUAAUAUGCGUUCAGCCGAUUUGUAUUAAUUAAAAAGCUAAUAUUUUCAUUAACUAAUAUGUUACAUUGACUGUUCUUUCCACAAAGUUUCUUCUCACCUCAGUCUUUCUCUGACAGAUUUCCUUAGCUCACAUCAAUCUUUUUCUGUAAAUUUUCCUCGCUUCAACCUUUUUUUCUGGGAAUUGCCCUCACCUCUAUGUUUUUCCUCAUCUCAACAUCCAUGAGGUUAUCCUCUCAGGAGGGUUCAUCUUCACAAACAAGUAAAGCUUUUGCAAAUUGUUGACAGUGUGCAUACAUGACAGAUGUGUUUUCACAAUAUUUAUAUAAAUUUUCUUGUCCCAGGUGCCAACGCCCAUUUAGGGAAAAUGUACUCUCGUAACUUACAUGGACCGAUACGAAGAAUCUUGCAACAGGGCGAUGGAUUUCUUGCUACCAGCAGCAUUGUAUUGUUUGGCUAACAGGGAGGUUACGAGUGCAAGCUGUGUCCAUACAAGGCGAGACUCAAGGGCAACCUGGUGAGCCAUUUACGGACUCAUACGGGCGAACGCCCCUUCAAGUGUAGCUUCUGCAACUACAGGGCAGUUCAGAAGCAGAAUGUGAUAACGCACGAGAGACGUCAUACUGGAGAAAGACCCUUCAAGUGCAGCUUGUGUAGCUAUGCUGCACGUGUCAAGAGUGCUCUUCUAUCCCACCAGAGGGUGCACACAGGGGAGAAACCUUACGCCUGCAGAUUUUGCUCUUAUCGUGCUGCCUAUCUACCAGGCAUCAAGUAUCACGAACGGACACACGCACCUUAACACCUUCAUUCAAGAACACCCUGUUUUGUAGCCAGCAAAUGUACUGCUACAUUUUUGUCCUAACGCGAAACAUCCGCUAAUAAAUCGGGGUCGUAACAUUUACGAAGCA